UACGUAGGGGGCUAGCGUUGUCCGGAAUCAUUGGGCGUAAAGCGCGUGUAGGCGGUCCGGUAAGUCCGCUGUGAAAGUCGGGGGCUCAACCCUCGAAUGCCGGUGGAUACUGUCGGGCUAGAGUGCGGAAGAGGCGAGUGGAAUUCCUGGUGUAGCGGUGAAAUGCGCAGAUAUCAGGAGGAACACCUAUUGCGAAGGCAGCUCGCUGGGACGUAACUGACGCUGAGACGCGAAAGCGUGGGGGGCAAACAGG
rnacentral:rRNA from 1 species